GAUCCCAGCUUGCUGGGGGAUUAGUGGCGAACGGGUGAGUAACACGUGAGUAACCUGCCCUUAACUCUGGGAUAAGCCUGGGAAACUGGGUCUAAUACCGGAUAUGACUCCUCAUCGCAUGGUGGGGGGUGGAAAGCUUUAUUGUGGUUUUGGAUGGACUCGCGGCCUAUCAGCUUGUUGGUGAGGUAAUGGCUCACCAAGGCGACGACGGGUAGCCGGCCUGAGAGGGUGACCGGCCACACUGGGACUGAGACACGGCCCAGACUCCUACGGGAGGCAGCAGUGGGGAAUAUUGCACAAUGGGCGAAAGCCUGAUGCAGCGACGCCGCGUGAGGGAUGACGGCCUUCGGGUUGUAAACCUCUUUCAGUAGGGAAGAAGCGAAAGUGACGGUACCUGCAGAAGAAGCGCCGGCUAACUACGUGCCAGCAGCCGCGGUAAUACGUAGGGCGCAAGCGUUAUCCGGAAUUAUUGGGCGUAAAGAGCUCGUAGGCGGUUUGUCGCGUCUGCCGUGAAAGUCCGGGGCUCAACUCCGGAUCUGCGGUGGGUACGGGCAGACUAGAGUGAUGUAGGGGAGACUGGAAUUCCUGGUGUAGCGGUGAAAUGCGCAGAUAUCAGGAGGAACACCGAUGGCGAAGGCAGGUCUCUGGGCAUUAACUGACGCUGAGGAGCGAAAGCAUGGGGAGCGAACAGGAUUAGAUACCCUGGUAGUCCAUGCCGUANACGUUGGGCACUAGGUGUGGGGGACAUUCNACGUUUUCCGCGCCGUAGCUAACGCAUUAAGUGCCCCGCCUGGGGAGUACGGCCGCAAGGCUAAAACUCAA
rnacentral:rRNA from 1 species